rnacentral:rRNA from 1 species
GGAGAAAGAUUUAUCGGCAAGAGAUGAGCCCGCGUUGGAUUAGCUAGUUGGUGGGGUAAAGGCCUACCAAGGCGACGAUCCAUAGCUGGUCUGAGAGGAUGAUCAGCCACAUUGGGACUGAGACACGGCCCAAACUCCUACGGGAGGCAGCAGUGGGGAAUAUUGGACAAUGGGCGCAAGCCUGAUCCAGCCAUGCCGCGUGAGUGAUGAAGGCCCUAGGGUUGUAAAGCUCUUUCACCGGAGAAGAUAAUGACGGUAUCCGGAGAAGAAGCCCCGGCUAACUUCGUGCCAGCAGCCGCGGUAAUACGAAGGGGGCUAGCGUUGUUCGGAAUUACUGGGCGUAAAGCGCACGUAGGCGGAUCGAUCAGUCAGGGGUGAAAUCCCAGGGCUCAACCCUGGAACUGCCUUUGAUACUGUCGAUCUGGAGUAUGGAAGAGGUGAGUGGAAUUCCGAGUGUAGAGGUUGAAAUUCCGUAGAUAUUCCGGAGGAA